rnacentral:tRNA from 1 species
GCGGCUAUAGUUUAGUGGUAAAACAUAUCCUUCCCAAGGAUAGGUCGAGAGUCCGAUUCUCUCUAGCCGCU